rnacentral:rRNA from 1 species
ACGAACGCUGGCGGCGUGCUUAACACAUGCAAGUCGAGCGAUGAGAUCCCUUCGGGGAUGGAUUAGCGGCGAACGGGUGAGGAACACGUGGGGAAUCUGCCUUCUACUCUGGGAUAACUCCGGGAAACCGGGGCUAAUACCGGAUAUGAAACUUGGUGGCAUCACCGAGUUUGGAAAGUUUUUCGGUAGAAGAUGACCUCGCGGCCUAUCAGCUUGUUGGUGAGGUAAUGGCUCACCAAGGCGACGACGGGUAGCCGGCCUGAGAGGGCGACCGGCCACACUGGGACUGAGACACGGCCCAGACUCCUACGGGAGGCAGCAGUGGGGAAUAUUGGGCAAUGGAGGAAACUCUGACCCAGCGACGCCGCGUGCGGGAUGAAGGCCUUCGGGUUGUAAACCGCUUUCAGCAGGGAAGAAGCGAAAGUGACGGUACCUGCAGAAGAAGCACCGGCUAACUAUGU